UCCCCGAUAGCUCAGCUGGUAGAGCAGGUGGCUGUUAACCACCGGGCCGCAGGUUAACAGCCACCUGCUCGGGGAG
rnacentral:tRNA from 1 species